GGUGAACGCUGGCGGCGUGCCUAAUACAUGCAAGUCGAGCGAACAGACGAGGAGCUUGCUCCUCUGACGUUAGCGGCGGACGGGUGAGUAACACGUGGAUAACCUACCUAUAAGACUGGGAUAACUUCGGGAAACCGGAGCUAAUACCGGAUAAUAUAUUGAACCGCAUGGUUCAAUAGUGAAAGACGGUUUUGCUGUCACUUAUAGCUGGAUCCGCGCCGCAUUAGCUAGUUGGUAAGGUAACGGCUUACCAAGGCAACGAUGCGUAGCCGACCUGAGAGGGUGAUCGGCCAGCCUGGAACUGAGACACGGUCCAGACUCCUACGGGAGGCAGCAGUAGGGAAUCUUCCGCAAUGGGCGAAGGCCUGACGGAGGAACGCCGCGUGAGUGAUGAAGGUCUUCGGAUCGUAAAACUCUGUUAUUAGGGAAGAACAAAUGUGUAAGUAACUAUGCACGUAUUGACGGUACCUAAUCAGAAAGCCACGGCUAACUACGUG
rnacentral:rRNA from 1 species